GAUGAACGCUGGCGGCGUGCCUAACACAUGCAAGUCGAGCGAACGGUCCAGAAGUUUGCUCCCCUGAUGUUAGCGGCGGACGGGAGCGUCACACGUGGAUAACCUACCUAUAAGACUGGGAUAACUAUGGGAAACGGGAGCUACUACCGGAUGAUUUUUUGCACCGCAUGGUUCACGCGUGAAAGACGGUAUUUCUAUCACUUAUAGAUGGGUCCGCGUAGGAUCAGUUAGUUGGUGGGGUAAUGGCUUAACAAGGCGACGAUGCAUAGCUGACCUGAGAGGAUGAUCAGCAACACUGGGACUGAGACACGGACCAGACUCAUACGGGAGGAAGCAGUGGGGAAUAUUGGAGAAUGGGCGCAAGCCUGAUCAAGCAAUGCCGCGUGAGUGAUGAAGGCCUUAGGGUUGUAAAGCUCUUUUACCCGGGAUGAUAAUGACAGUACCGGGAGAAUAAGCUCCGGCUAACUCCGUG
rnacentral:rRNA from 1 species